GGCGGCGUGCUUAACACAUGCAAGUCGAACGGGAUCCCGGGUUUCGGCCUGGGUGAGAGUGGCGAACGGGUGAGUAAUGCGUGACCGACCUGCCCUGUACACCGGAAUAGCUCCUGGAAACGGGUGGUAAUGCCGGAUGCUCCAACAUGCUGCAUGGUGUGUUGGGAAAGAUUUAUCGGUAUGGGAUGGGGUCGCGUCCUAUCAGGUAGUCGGCGGGGUAACGGCCCACCGAGCCUACGACGGGUAGCCGGCCUGAGAGGGCGACCGGCCACACUGGGACUGAGAUACGGCCCAGACUCCUACGGGAGGCAGCAGUGGGGAAUAUUGCACAAUGGGCGCAAGCCUGAUGCAGCGACGCCGCGUGCGGGAUGACGGCCUUCGGGUUGUAAACCGCUUUUGAUUGGGAGCAAGCGUGAGUGAGUGUACCUUUCGAAUAAGCACCGGCUAACUACGUGCCAGCAGCCGCGGUAAUACGUAGGGUGCAAGCGUUAUCCGGAAUUAUUGGGCGUAAAGAGCUCGUAGGCGGUUCGUCGCGUCUGGUGUGAAAGUCCAUCGCUUAACGGUGGAUCUGCGCCGGGUACGGGCGGGCUGGAGUGCGGUAGGGGAGACUGGAAUUCCCGGUGUAACGGUGGAAUGUGUAGAUAUCGGGAAGAACACCAAUGGCGAAGGCAGGUCUCUGGGCCGUUACUGACGCUGAGGAGCGAAAGCGUGGGGAGCGAACAGGAUUAGAUACCCUGGUAGUCCACGCCGUAAACGGUGGAUGCUGGAUGUGGGGCCCUUUCCACGGGUCCCGUGUCGGAGGUAACGCGUUAAGCAUCCCGCCUGGGGAGUACGGCCGCAAGGCUAAAACUCAGAGAAAUUGACGGGGGCCCGCACAAGCGGCGGAGCAUGCGGAUUAAUUUGAUGCAACGCGAAGAACCUUACCUGGGCUUGACAUGUUCCCGACGACGGCAGAGAUGUCGUUUCCCUUCGGGGCGGGUUCACAGGUGGUGCAUGGUCGUCGUCAGCUCGUGUCGUGAGAUGUUGGGUUAAGUCCCGCAACGAGCGCAACCCUCGCCCCGUGUUGCCAGCAUGUAAUGAUGGGAACUCAAGGGGGACCGCCGGGGUUAACUCGGAGGAAGGUGGGGAUG
rnacentral:rRNA from 1 species